AGUGAACGCUGGCGGUAGGCCUAACACAUGCAAGUCGAACGGCAGCACAGUAAGAGCUUGCUCUUACGGGUGGCGAGUGGCGGACGGGUGAGGAAUACAUCGGAAUCUACUUUUUCGUGGGGGAUAACGUAGGGAAACUUACGCUAAUACCGCAUACGACCUACGGGUGAAAGCAGGGGAUCUUCGGACCUUGCGCGAUAGAAUGAGCGGAUGUCGGAUUAGUUGGUUGGCGGGGUAAAGGCCCACCAAGGGGACGAUCCGUAGCUGGUCUGAGAGGAUGAUCAGCCACACUGGAACUGAGACACGGUCCAGACUCCUACGGGAGGCAGCAGUGGGGAAUAUUGGACAAUGGGCGCAAGCCUGAUCCAGCCAUACCGCGUGGGUGAAGAAGGCCUUCGGGUUGUAAAGCCCUUUUGUUGGGAAAGAAAAGCAGCAGGUUAAUACCCCGCUGUUCUGACGGUACCCAAAGAAUAAGCACCGGCUAACUUCGUG
rnacentral:rRNA from 1 species